rnacentral:rRNA from 1 species
UACGGAGGGGGCUAGCGUUGUUCGGAAUUACUGGGCGUAAAGCGCACGUAGGCGGCUUUGUAAGUUAGAGGUGAAAGCCUGGUGCUCAACACCAGAAUUGCCUUUAAGACUGCAUCGCUUGAACGUCGGAGAGGUGAGUGGAAUUCCGAGUGUAGAGGUGAAAUUCGUAGAUAUUCGGAAGAACACCAGUGGCGAAGGCGGCUCACUGGACGACUGUUGACGCUGAGGUGCGAAAGCCAGGGGAGCAAACGGG